CAUUGUGGUGCUGAGGGGUGCAGACCACCACCACCCGCCCGGGGGCCAACGCCUUCAGCCCUGCCACCGACUGCGCCACGCGACGCUGGGAGGAAAAAUGGGGGUUGGCACCAGGACCCCCCGCCACGUCCCCAGGACCCUCCCCAUGACCCCCAGUGUUCCCAUGUCCCUCCAUCCCCAUCAGAACAUCCCCAACGUCCCCAGCCCAUCCCCUUCCCAUACCCCCCCCACAUCCCUCCAUGUCUCCACAUCCCCCGGCCCCACCUGCAGCUCUGCCCGCGCCUCCAGCAGCCCCUGCACGGCCUCGUAGUACUGGGGGAGGUCAUCCAGCGUCCCCUCCUGCGGGGGCUCUCCCAGCGCUUUCAGCUCCUGCUGCAGCUCAGCCACGCGCCGCUGCUGUGCCUGGGGGCCCCACAUGGACCCAAAUGGGAUCAAACGGCACCGAAACGGCCCCAGAUGUCACAAAAUGGCACCAAAAUGACAUAAAGCAGCACCUGAACGGUCCCGCAGCCCCACUGCAGCAACACUGCCCCACUGCCCCGUGUCCCAGUUGCCCCCAUGCCCCGCACCCCACACUGCCCCAAUGUCCCACAUCCCAUAGCGUCCCCACUGCCACUCAUUGCCACCAAUGUCUCCCUGCUCCUGGAGUGUCCCCAUUGUCCCCACGCCCCCCAGCAUCCCCAUGCUCCCCACUGCCCCCAACUCUCCCGACACGUUCCCAUGUCCCCACCUUAUCCCCAAUGCCCCCAACGUUUCCCUGUUUCCCCAUUGCACCCCUCCCCACGUCCCAAAGCCCACACUGCUCCCACUCCCCCCCCGUCCCCUCCCCGCCACACCCCCCCGCCCUGCGUCCCCCAUCCCAUACCGCAGCGCGGCGCCGCAGGGGGAACUCUCCGAAGCUGUUGCGCAUCAACCCCUCCACGGUGAGCGCGGCCGCGCGCUGCAGGCUGAGGAUGGUUCCGUACGUCAGGCGGAACUGCGACUGCAGCCCCGACGGGCGGCCCUGCGGGCAGAGGGACAGCGUGAGAGCAGCAGCAUGGGGUGACAGCACGUACAGGAAAGCGGUGACAGGAGGUGAUGUGGGCGGCACUCACCAGCAUGACGCGGUGCAGGUCGGCCAUGUCGGGCACCGUCCCCCGGCACAGGAUGAUGACAGUCCCGGUGCGGUCCAACCCGCGGCGCCCGGCGCGCCCCGACAUCUGCACGUACUCACCUGGGGAGAGGGGCUGCCCCAUAGAGCCUCACCCUGCCCCACAUCCCCGAACCAUCCCACAGCCCCCAGAUCUGCCCCCAAAUCCAUCCCAUAGACCCUAAAACCCACCCCGGAGCCCCAAAAGCUGCCCCCCCCGUCCCCCAAGCCCCCCAGCCCUGCCCACACCCACCCCACAUCCCCACCUGGCAGCAGGUCGCGGAAGUUGUUGCCGUCGUGUUUGCGGAUGGAGUCGAAGAUGACGGUGCGCGCCGGCAUGUUCACCCCCAUGGCGAAGGUCUCGGUGGCAAAGAGCAGCUGGGGGAUACGGGGGGUGAGUUGGCGGGGGAUAUGUGUGGGGCUCAGCCCCACAGUUGCCCCACAGCUGCCCCAUACCUUGACCAGCCCCUGGCUGAAGAGCAUCUCCACCACCUCCUUGAGCAGUGGCAGCACCCCGCUGUGGUGCACCCCGAUGCCGCGCUCCAGGAGCUCCGACAUCUGCAGCACCUGGGGGGAAGGAGGGGGUUGGAGGCGUGGGACCCACAGCAGACCCACACCGCCCCACAGAGCGCCCCACGACUCCUCCCAGCCCCACACAGAACCCCCCAAGAUGCCCUGAACCACCCACAGACCACCAUAAGAGCCCCCCUAAGACCCGCAGACCUCUCCUAGUCCCCCAGUAAGAGCUCCCAAGGCUCCUUAAAGCCCCCCAGGCCCUCAAAGACUCUCAGGGAUCCCCUACAACACACCCAACCCCCCCACUAACAGCCCCCCAAGCCCCAGUACCUCCCCACACACCCCACAGCCCUAUAACAGCCCCCAAGAGCCCCCACCUGGGGCAGGCGGCGGUCCCCCCCCCGGAGCCGGGCCAGGCAGCGCCGCACGAAGCCCCGCACGCGGCCCUUCUCGGCGGCUGAGCUGAGGUCGGUGCGGCCCAGGGCGGCCGCGUGGGCAUCGCAGCGCCCGCGGGAGAAGGUGAAGGCCACGGCCGGGAGCUGCCCCUGCGCCUGCAGCAGUGCCACCAGCGAGUGCCACAUGGCACGGUCCUGGGGGGAGUGUGGAGUGAGUCUGAAAGAGCUCCAAGAGAGCCCAAAAGGAGGGCCCAAAAUGGGAUGGGAGGAUCCCAAAAAGAGACCCGAAGGAGAAGCCCCCCCCUCCAACUUGGGCCCCCCCUCACCUGCCCGGGGCCGCUGCCCCCCCCGUGGGGCUGUUUGGCCCCAAAGCUCUGUGUGUGUUUGCUCGCCCGCUGCUUCUGUGCCUCCACCGCUGCAUAGUACCUGUGGGAGCCAUGGGGUGCUAUGGGGGCAGCGCUAUGGGGGCAGCGCUAUAGGGGCAGCGCUAUAGGGGCAGUUGUAGGGCACCGUGGGUAAACAUUAAAUGAUUGUAGGGCACCACAAGA